GCGAGUCCUUGAGAAAGAAGAGGAAGAAGAUGAUGAUGAAGAUGAAGAUGAUGAAGAUGAUGUGUCAGAGGGCUCUGAAGUGCCCGAGAGUGACCGUCCUGCAGGUGCCCAGCACCACCAGCUUAACGGCGAGCGGGGACCUCAGAGUGCCAAGGAGAGGGUCAAGGAGUGGACCCCCUGCGGACCGCACCAGGGCCAGGAUGAAGGGCGGGGGCCAGCCCCGGGCAGCGGCACCCGCCAGGUGUUCUCCAUGGCAGCCAUGAACAAGGAGGGGGGAACAGGUAAGGAUCCUUCUGGGUGGGGAAAAGUGCUAGGUGGAGAGGAACUCAGCCCGAAGACAAAGCCAAAGGCAGGUGUUUUUUUCCUUCCCAGCUUCUGUUGCCACCGGGCCAGACUCCCCGUCCCCCGUGCCUUUGCCCCCAGGCAAACCAGCCCUACCUGGGGCCGACGGGACCCCCUUUGGCUGUCCUCCCGGGCGCAAAGAGAAGCCAUCUGAUCCCGUGGAGUGGACCGUGAUGGAUGUCGUCGAAUAUUUUACUGAGGCUGGAUUCCCGGAGCAGGCGACAGCUUUCCA
rnacentral:lncRNA from 1 species